UACGUAGGUCCCGAGCGUUGUCCGGAUUUAUUGGGCGUAAAGCGAGCGCAGGUGGUUUAUUAAGUCUGGUGUAAAAGGCAGUGGCUCAACCAUUGUAUGCAUUGGAAACUGGUAGACUUGAGUGCAGGAGAGGAGAGUGGAAUUCCAUGUGUAGCGGUGAAAUGCGUAGAUAUAUGGAGGAACACCGGUGGUGAAAGCGGCUCUCUGGCCUGUAACUGACGCUGAGGUUCGAAAGCGUGGGUAGCAAACAGG
rnacentral:rRNA from 1 species